rnacentral:rRNA from 1 species
AGAAGCACCGGCUAAUUCCGUGCCAGCAGCCGCGGUAAUACGGAAGGUGCGAGCGUUAAUCGGAAUAACUGGGCGUAAAGCGCGCGUAGGUGGUUGAGUCAGUCAGAUGUGAAAGCCCCGGGCUUAACCUGGGAACUGCACCUGAUACUGCUUAACUAGAGUACGGUAGAGGGCAGUGGAAUUUCCUGUGUAGCGGUGAAAUGCGUAGAUAUAGGAAGGAACACCAGUGGCGAAGGCGACUGCCUGGAUUGAUACUGACACUGAGGUGCGAAAGCGUGGGUAGCAAACAGGAUUAGAUACCCUGGUAGUCCACGCCGUAAACGAUGUCGACUAGCCGUUGGGAGACUUGC